rnacentral:rRNA from 1 species
UACGGGGGGAGCAAGCGUUGUUCGGAUUUACUGGGCGUAAAGGGCGCGUAGGCGGCCUUCUAAGUCGAACGUGAAAUCCCUGGGCUCAACCCAGGAACUGCGUCCGAGACUGAAAGGCUCGAAUCCGGGAGAGGGAUGUGGAAUUCCAGGUGUAGCGGUGAAAUGCGCAGAUAUCAGGAGGAACACCGGUGGCGAAGGCGGGUCUCUGGGCCGAUACUGACGCUGAGGAGCGAAAGCGUGGGGAUCAAACAGG